rnacentral:lncRNA from 1 species
GUCUCAGGGUCCCUGGGUAGGUUGUGGAAGAUGUCUAGUAACUACCAUCCCUCCCUUUCGUUCAAUAUAAAAGAGGAGGAACUAAGAAGGGGUGAUGUUGAGGCCGGAGAGCAAUUUGGACUAUUUCCUGUUGUCCGGGGUUGUCGCAUGUUCGGGCAUUGCUGAUCCUCACCAUCAGGGCACACUCCGUAACCAUGAGACUCAGGCUUUGUGGCUAGCAGCCCGUAGUCCCGUAACAGUAAAUUAGUUGUUUGAUUAGAGAGUUUUUUGAGUUUGUUGUUGAAGAAAUGCCAGAGGAGAAGAAAUUGAUAAAAGAGGGUUCGAUGACAGCCAGGAGGGGCAAGAUUUGAACUGCCCUUUCAUCAUGUCUGGCAGCUAUUGCGUGCAACAGGAAUUGAUUGGAACUCCUGAAAAAUGAGGCCUAGCUGGAAAAGAGACCACUGGGGACAGACCUCUCUGAUGCUACAACACAGCCCAAGCUCCCAUAGUUGGUGCCAUGAAGAGAGCUUCACAGAGCUGACCUGCCUUCUCCACCACAGUGGGCUAAACCAUUGGAAAUCCCGAGCCAGGAGCAAUCCUGGUCCUCAAGUUGCUUCUGUCUGUCAUUCUGCCACAGCAAUGAGAAAAUCAGCAAUAACUGAAGCAGCAAGCCUUUGUUCUGCGGAAGCUCGUUUCACUUCUCGUAAAGAGCAAAACUGCCUCGGGACAGCGUCGGAGCACUGGAGAUCCCAUUUAACGUUGAUGGCAGCUCUUGUUCUUAUUUUUAAUUAAUUAUGUGUAUGGGUGUUUUGUUUGCAUGCAUAUCUGUGUACCUCAUGUGUGCCCAGAGAUGCCCAGAAGAGGGAGUCAGCAUCAAAGCCCCUGGCUAACAUGUCUCAGCAGUUAAAAAUAUAGCUGUUGCUUUUAAA